AACUCUAUUGACUAAGGGAAUGUUCACCAAACUUGAUUGAGAAUUACUUUUGGGGCACCUGUUAAAAAAAUUCCAGGCCCCUCCCCUAAAGAUCAAAUUUCUGGAGUGACCUGAAAAUCUGUUUACAAACAGUUUAAAUCAUUCUCAUUCCUACUAAGUUGAGAAACUAGGCGCUCAGUGUGAGAAACAUGCUCAGCCGUCCAAACCCAAAGAAUGGACUUAGAGGCAUGAAGAACAGCUCUCCUAAUCAUUCCCCGCUUCUCCUGUGAACAGGAUAUUCAUGACAGACAUCAUUUCAGCCCAGGUAUAAAAGCUGGGUUCCAGGAAUUGGUCUGCUAAAUGGCUGGGAUCUUGUAGGAGUGGUUUCAUUUGCUUCUUGAAAUUCCUAACUUCAGUUCUUGUAAGAGGAGCAUUUACAAAGCCAAUUUUUCCUUGUCCCAUGGGAACUUGCGUAAGCGUGAACAUGCUAGAUGCCUGCUGUGUGGAAGGGAUAGAUGACUGGAGCAACCCUGAAAGAAAAGCAUUCAAGAUGGAAUGCCCACUCUCAGCCUGAGUUCCUGAAUGGAACCUCUUGGAAAACCACCCACCAACCUAAAUAUCCACCCAGGGCAGUUACAUGAAUAAAACGUCAAGUUCUAUUGUGC
rnacentral:lncRNA from 10 species